UUAAAUUGAAGAGUUUGAUCAUGGCUCAGAUUGAACGCUGGCGGCAGGCCUAACACAUGCAAGUCGAGCGGAAACGAGUUGUCUGA
rnacentral:rRNA from 1 species